AACGAACGCUGGCGGCAGGCCUAACACAUGCAAGUCGAGCGAGGACUUCGGUUCUAGCGGCGGACGGGUGAGUAACGCGUGGGAAUGUGCCCUUCUCUACGGAAUAGCCCUGGGAAACUGGGAGUAAUACCGUAUACGCCCUAUUGGGGAAAGAUUUAUCGGAGAAGGAUCAGCCCGCGUUGGAUUAGGUAGUUGGUGGGGUAAUGGCCUACCAAGCCGACGAUCCAUAGCUGGUUUGAGAGGAUGAUCAGCCACACUGGGACUGAGACACGGCCCAGACUCCUACGGGAAGCAGCAGUGGGGAAUCUUAGACAAUGGGGGCAACCCUGAUCUAGCCAUGCCGCGUGAGUGAUGAAGGCCUUAGGGUUGUAAGGCUCUUUCAGCUGGGAAGAUAAUGACGGUACCAGCAGAAGAAGCCCCGGCUAACUCCGUG
rnacentral:rRNA from 1 species